GCCAGACUCCUACGGGAGGCAGCAGUGAGGAAUAUUGGUCAAUGGUCGGGAGACUGAACCAGCCAAGCCGCGUGAGGGAUGAAGGUACAGAGUAUCGUAAACCUCUUUUGUCAGGGAACAAAGGCGGGGACGCGUCCCCGGAUGAGUGUACCUGAAGAAAAAGCAUCGGCUAACUCCGUGCCAGCAGCCGCGGUAAUACGGAGGAUGCGAGCGUUAUCCGGAUUUAUUGGGUUUAAAGGGUGCGUAGGCGGACGCUUAAGUCAGCGGUAAAAUUGCGGGGCUCAACCUCGUCGAGCCGUUGAAACUGGGUGCCUUGAGUGGGCGAGAAGUACGCGGAAUGCGUGGUGUAGCGGUGAAAUGCAUAGAUAUCACGCAGAACCCCGAUUGCGAAGGCAGCAUGCCGGCUUCCGACUGACGCUGAAGCACGAAAGCGUGGGGAUCGAACAGGAUUAGAUACCCUCGUA
rnacentral:rRNA from 1 species